UUUAGCUCCUUUCUUCCUCUCUGCUCUUGUUUAAUUCAUUUUUCUUCUUACUCUUUGAAUUUAUGCUAAAAUCCAGUUAUUUUUAUAUUUUAUUUACUUCUUGCAUUCUCCAUAGCAUUUUCCUUUGCUGAUCUGUAGCCCAAGGAUGCAAAAAUCCUUCAUCACCUCAUCACAAACAUCUCUCCUUAUCUGUUGCUGAAGGUGAGGAGCCCAUCAUCCUUGACACCAGAAUCAGUGAAAGGAGCCAGGCAUGGAUGUGGCCCAGGUCUGCAGAGCUGCAACCAUCCUUGGGAGCUCCAGCUUGCUUGAGGUCUCCAUUGAACUGGAAGAGUUGCUCCAGUGGGUACCUGGGACUUUGAUUUGUGAUUUGUCUACUGCUACGGAGCUGUGUACACUGUCCUUAGCAGAGUUUCAUUCUCCCAUCUGCACAAAAUGCUGUCCCCUUGAUAUGCACUCUACAUCCAGCACUUAGGUUGGGACCUCCAUAAUACCUGUUGAUAUGGUGUGUGACCUUCCCUAGUCAGGAGUCAGCUGCAACAAGAGCUCAGCACCCUUUGACCAAGUUUCUGGAGAAGCUGCAAGCUGCCUUCUAAGGAUGGGUCUGAAUUACUAAAUCUGCCCUCAUUAGGAAAAAAAUGACAUACUUUUAAUUCAAAAUUGAUUAAAACACAAUAGCUUAGUUUAAAAGUACUAAUGAUAGACACUUACAACAGAUAAAUAGAAAAAUUAAAAAGACGAAAAGACAGGGCAGGAAUCAUUACUGCUUUAGGAAGGUUGAUAGCAUUUCUUUAGUACUGCUAAUCAAAACCAGCUCAGCCAUGGUGCUAAAACAUUGAUAUUUAUGACGUUUAUAACUUUGGUUUUAAUUUUGAAAACUUCCCGUUCUUUUAUUUUCUACUAGUAAUUGUUUUACAUGAUAGUAAGGUUCAAGAAAUCAUUUAUAAAAAUUAGGCCGAUUUUGAAUGCUGUUAAAUAAUGCUGAUUUGGUGUUCUCUCUUACACUCAUGCUCUGCCAGCAUUUUAAUGUUUGUGGAGCAAAUGAAGAAUUUCUAAACAUUGCCAGAGGGUCAUCAUGUUAAUUCUUUGAGAGAGAAAAUCCUUAGAUUUUUAGUAUGCCUCGAGCAUCAUUGGUUUAUGAUAAGGUCUUUGAAAAAGUGCAAUGAAGAUGAUGGCUUAGUUAAAAUACUAUCAAAAUACUUGGUUAGGAAAUGAAAACCCCAGUCUUUCAUGCAUUGUGUUUAAAAGAGUGAGUGUUCCCACUCUUCCUUUAAAGAAUUCCAAUGUAUACAUGGGUAAUCUGUUAUAAUGGUUUUUAUUUUUGGUGUAAUUGUGUUUGAAUAUAGAAAUAUUGCUGGGAUUAAGAGUCACUCUGAAAGAGUCAUGUUCUGAGGGGAGGGUGAAUAUACACUGAGAUGAUCAAAUACCAUUGCAGAUAUCUUUUUAAAUUCAAAUGUAAAUACAAAUUCUCAAUGUUCACACAAAAUAUAUAAAAGAAUGUUCUACUAAAUAUUGUCAUGUUUUGUGAAGGGAGUAAAUAAUGCACAAAGUUGAAUAGCUUAUUAAAUAAAUAAUCAUGAUAAGUAAUUUAA